rnacentral:rRNA from 1 species
UGGGGAAUAUUGCACAAUGGGCGCAAGCCUGAUGCAGCCAUGCCGCGUGUAUGAAGAAGGCCUUCGGGUUGUAAAGUACUUUCAGCGGGGAGGAAGGGAGUAAAGUUAAUACCUUUACUCAUUGACGUUACCCGCAGAAGAAGCACCGGCUAACUCCGUGCCAGCAGCCGCGGUAAUACGGAGGGUGCAAGCGUUAAUCGGAAUUACUGGGCGUAAAGCGCACGCAGGCGGUUGAUUGAGUCAGAUGUGAAAUCCCCGGGCUUAACCCGGGAAUUGCAUCUGAUACUGGUCAGCUAGAGUCUUGUAGAGGGGGGUAGAAUUCCAUGUGUAGCGGUGAAAUGCGUAGAGAUGUGGAGGAAUACCGGUGGCGAAGGCGGCCCCCUGGACGAAGACUGACGCUCAGGUGCGAAAGCGUGGGGAGCAAACAGG